GUACUUGUUGGUGGUUGUGUCCGGGGCGACGGUGGUCGCGUCCGGUGCGUCCGUUGCGUCCGUUGUGUCCGGCGGCGCAGUCGCUUUGGUCCGGCGCAGGAACGGACGCCGCUCCUUCGCUGCCUGUUAGUGGAAUAGUCGAUGAGAGAUGCCGGUAGAAGAACUUUAUUGAAUCAAAAAUGUUACAACAAAGUAUAAGUUUUAAUUUGGAAUUGUAAAAUAAAACAACACUA